ACGGAGGGUGCAAGCGUUAUUCGGAAUCACUAGGUGUAAAGGGCGCGUAGGCGGUUUGAUAAGUCAGAUGUGAAAUCUCAUAGCUCAACUGUGAGCUUGCAUCUAAAACUGUCAGGCUUGAGUAUGGUAGGGGAAAACGGAAUUUCUAGUGUAGCGGUGAAAUGUGUAGAUACUAGCAGGAACAGCGAUGGCGAAGGCGGUUUUCUGGUCUAAUACUGACGCUAAGGCGCGAAAGCUAGGGGAGCAAACAG
rnacentral:rRNA from 1 species